rnacentral:lncRNA from 1 species
UCCUUUCCACACUUACUUGGUGUUUGUCGCACAAGUUAAGAAAUCGGAUUAUAUGUGUAUGGAAAUCCAGUUAAGAAAUUCACUUGAAAAAUUGGUAGGAGCACGUUCAUUGAGCCAUAGAAACGAUCAAUCCUCCUGAGAAUCCACUAUAGUCGCGUUGGCGAAUAACUAUUGCACCAUUUGAUAGUUUCAAGUAUAUGCUUCAACAAUGAAAAAAGGAAUACAACAAAAACAGAG